UGACUUCUGUGCUUGCACAGAAUGAUUAGUGGCGAACGGGUGAGUAACACGUGAGUAACCUGCCCUUGACUUCGGGAUAAGCCUGGGAAACCGGGUCUAAUACCGGAUACGACCUCCUGGCGCAUGCCAUGGGGGUGGAAAGCUUUAUGCGGUUUUGGAUGGACUCGCGGCCUAUCAGCUUGUUGGUUGGGGUAAUGGCCCACCAAGGCGACGACGGGUAGCCGGCCUGAGAGGGUGACCGGCCACACUGGGACUGAGACACGGCCCAAACUCCUACGGGAGGCAGCAGUGGGGAAUAUUGCACAAUGGGCGGAAGCCUGAUGCAGCGACGCCGCGUGAGGGAUGACGGCCUUCGGGUUGUAAACCUCUUUCAG
rnacentral:rRNA from 1 species